UUAGCAGGCCACCUUAUCGCUCUAAUUAUUUAGAGAGGAAAGUCCGGACACCAUAGCGCAUCAUAGCGGGUAACUCCCGUCGACUCUUUAGAGUUAGGACUAGUGCAACAGAAAGUAUGUACAGUUAGGCUGUAGUGAAAUCAUGUAAACUCUAUGAGGUGAAACGCCAUGUAUACCAGCACUGAGGGUAGCGCGCCCAAGUUGGAGGGUAGGCGGAUAAAGCAAAACAGUAAUGUUUUGCUAAGAUUAAUGAUAAGGCACGACAGAAUCCGGCUUAUGGCCUGUUUUAUAA
rnacentral:RNase_P_RNA from 1 species